rnacentral:rRNA from 1 species
UUGCAGUUAAAAAGCUCGUAGUUGGAUUUCGGAGUGGGCCAGUUGGUCCGCCGCAAGGUGUGUUACUGACUGGUUUGCUCUUCUUCGCAAAGACUGCGUGUGCUCUUCAGUGAGUGUGCGUAGGAUUUACGACGUUUACUUUGAAAAAAUUAGAGUGUUCAAAGCAGGCUAUUGCUUGAAUACAUGAGCAUGGAAUAAUGGAAUAGGACUUUGGUCCCAUUUUGUUGGUUUCUAGGGCCGAAGUAAUGAUUAAGAGGGACAAUUGGGGGCAUCCGUAUUUCGUUGUCAGAGGUGAAAUUCUUGGAUUUACGAAGGACGAACAACUGCGAAAGCACUUGCCAAGAGUGUUUUCAUUAAUCAAGAACGAAAGUUAGAGGAUCGAAGACGAUCAGAUACCGUCCUAGUUCUAACCAUAAACGAUGUCGACUAGGGAUCAGCGGGCGUUAUCGUACGACCCCGUUGGCACCUUACGGGAAACCAAAGUUUCUGGAUUCCGGGGGAAGUAUGGUUGCAAAGCUGAAACUUAAAGGAAUUGACGGAAGGGCACCACCAGGAGUGGAGCCUGUGGCUCAAUUUGACUCAACACGGGAAAACU